GCUUCAGGGCAGGGUGAGAUUCCCGACUGGCGGUAUAAUCCGCGAGCCGCUUGCGCGGCCGAUUCGGUGAGAUUCCGAAAUCAACGGUAAAGUCCGGAUGGAAGAAG
rnacentral:ncRNA from 1 species